CGACUCUCGGCAACGGAUAUCUCGGCUCUCGCAUCGAUGAAAACGUAGCGAAAUGCGAUACUUGGUGUGAAUUGCAGAAUCCCGUGAACCAUCGAGUCUUUGAACGCAAGUUGCGCCCGAAGCCAAUAGGCCGAGGGCACGUCUGCCUGGGCGUCACGCAUCGCG
rnacentral:rRNA from 1 species